ensembl:lncRNA
GUAAUGAUUGUAUCAUGUGGAGAUAAAGGGGAAUUCCAAGCCAGUCUUGUCUCAUAUUUGCUUUGAUGUUCACACAGUGAUCAACUGAGAUAUCAAUGCUAAAUGCGCUGGCACCAAAGGGAAGUUUUACAAUUUGAGAUGUGAACAUUAAAGGGUUAAUUUUUGUUCUCUCUCUUUUUCUCCUUAGUUCCACUAAAGAAAGGUACAGAUACUGUAUACAGUGAGCUUCAGACUGCUCCGCAAGGUGAAGUUCAUGAUUACUGGACUGACAGAAACAAUGGCCCAAAAUGACCUUGGGGAAAAGUCUGCUUCCAUUGGCUCACAUUAAAGUUUUGGUGGAGUUUACUGAAGUAAACCUCUUGGAGUUGGUGGACGAAGAUCUUCUCCACUCCUCCUCUCUGUUCCUCGUGCAGCACUGCUGGUGAUCCUGCUUAUUUUUGUUCCUUUUGUGAUUUGGUACUAAAAGUAUGUGUUCACAUUUUUUGGCCUUAAUAAAAAUAAGACAACAUUUUGAACAUCUGUGUGCCUU